rnacentral:rRNA from 1 species
GACGAACGCUGGCGGCGUGCUUAACACAUGCAAGUCGAACGGAAAGGCCCUGCUUUUGUGGGGUGCUCGAGUGGCGAACGGGUGAGUAACACGUGAGUAACCUGCCCUUGACUUUGGGAUAACUUCAGGAAACUGGGGCUAAUACCGGAUAGGAGCUCCUGCUGCAUGGUGGGGGUUGGAAAGUUUCGGCGGUUGGGGAUGGACUCGCGGCUUAUCAGCUUGUUGGUGAGGUAGUGGCUUACCAAGGCUUUGACGGGUAGCCGGCCUGAGAGGGUGACCGGCCACAUUGGGACUGAGAUACGGACCAGACUCCUACGGGACGCAGCAGUGGGGAGUAUUGCACAAUGGGCGGAAGCCUGAUGCAGCAACGCCGCGUGCGGGAUGACGGCCUUCGGGUUGUAAACCGCUUUCGCCUGUGACGAAGCGUGAGUGACGGUAAUGGGUAAAGAAGCACCGGCUAACUACGUG